rnacentral:rRNA from 1 species
UACAGAGGGUGCGAGCGUUAAUCGGAAUCACUGGGCGUAAAGGGCGCGUAGGCGGCCGAUCAAGUCGGGGGUGAAAGCCUGUGGCUCAACCACAGAAUUGCCUUCGAUACUGUUUGGCUUGAGACCGGAAGAGGUUAGUGGAACUGCGAGUGUAGAGGUGAAAUUCGUAGAUAUUCGCAAGAACACCAGUGGCGAAGGCGGCUGACUGGUCCGGUUCUGACACUGAGGCGCGAAAGCGUGGGGAGCAAACAGG